UGCCUGAGCAUUUCUAGCAACAUUUGGCUUCCAGGACCUGUUCAGCAGCUCUGACCCUCUCAGCGGACCCUAAUUCCCUGGCUUUUUGUUUGAUGGGGAGAAAUUCCAGUCACCAGCUCAAUCACUUCAGAUGGGCCAAUGAGAACAGCAGCAUCCUUGCCAGAAAUAGAAGGUUGGGACCACCAAGCCAGUGUUUUGGAGCAGUUGUUUCCACAGUUGGGACUUGUUUGGCUUGCCCAGGAGGAUGGGAAUAGUAAAAUCAGCUUAGGGACUUGAUGCGGGAGCCGAUCUUAUUCCAUAGCACUGUAGAACUUGCUGUGUAGUAAGUAGCAUGCUUCUCUCAAUUUUACAGAGUGCCACUUGCCCCUGCACCCCCUCCCGUCCCCCGCCCCCGCCCCCAGGGCAUCAGCUGUGGUGUGUCUAGUGAGUCCUAACCUUCAAGCACCUCUUAACUCUUUCUACCGCCUGUCCAGAAGUUUCCUGGCCUCAAAUCAUGGUCAGCUCUCACUGCCCCAUCCCCUGUCUCCAGUUCACGCACUGUAUCCUGUGUCUUUCUCUGUGGCUAGACUCUUCUCUUGGGGGAGGGGAGUCUUGUAUAUCGAUGUGUGCUCACGCACAUAGAGGCUAAAGAUUAAUCUAGGUGUAUUCAUUCAUCGUCUCAUUGCCUUUUUGUUAGGUUUUUGUUUUGAGACAGGGGCUCUCAGUGAACCUAGAGCUCACAGAUCAGGUGAGAAUGGCUGGCCAUCAAACCUCGGAGAUCUUUUCUCUUUCCCAGUGACGGGAUAUCGAGGUUGAUCAGCACAAUUUGUUGAAGAUUAUUUUUUCCCAUGUAUAUUUCCGACUUUGUCAAAAAUCAAUGGCCUCAUGAUUCCCUAGGUUCUUGUCUGCUGUGACACCCUCCAUUUCAUCUCUAAUUGUAUUAAUUUGCAUAUUCUGUCUUUUAAUUUGGCUAAGGGUUUAUCAACCUUAUUUUCUCAAAGAACCAACUCCAUUUCACUGAUUCUUUAUAUUUUUGUUACUGUUUUGUUUCUUACAAUCUACUCCUUUCAGAUGUUAUUUUUGUUGUUGUUCUAGAGCUUUUUGGUGUGCUGUUGAAUUGCUAAUAUGAGAUCCCUCCAAUUUUUUAAAAGAUUUAUUAUUAUAGAUAAGUACACUGUAGCUGUCUUCAGACACCCCAGAUGAGGGCAUCAGAUCUCAUUACGAUGGGUGGUUGUGAGCCACCAUUACAGGUGGUUGCUGGGAAUUGAACUCAGGACUCCAAUUUUUAAAGUCGGCAUUUAGUGCUAUGAACUUUCCUCUCACCAUCUCCUUUACUAUGUCCCAUGGGUUUGGGAAUGUUGUGUUUCCAUUUGCAUUCAGCUCUAAAAAGUUUUUCAGUAGCCUUAAUUUCAGUCUUGACCCAUUUUCAUGUAGUGAAUUUUAAGUAGUGAAUACAUUAGUUUGAAAGUAUUCUGUUGUUGAUAUCCUAUUUUAAUCAGAUAGGAUGCAGGUUAUUUUGAUUUUCUUGUAUCUGUUGAGUCUAGCUUUAUGUCCAAGUAUGUGGUUGGUUUGAGAAAACAAGCCAUGGGCUUCUUAAAAGCUAUAGUCUUUUGUGUUUGGGUGAGAUGUUUUGUAAAUAUAUGCUAUGUCCAUUUGAUGUGAGACAUUUGACUCCAACAUUUCUAUGUGUAGGGAUAAUCUCUUGUGCACUGUACUCAGUAAAGAGCUGAAUUGCUAUAGCAAGGCAGGAGAAACUAGGCGGGAUAUCUGACAGAGAGAGGGGAACUUUGGGAAAGAGUCAGGCAUGGGGGAUGCACUACCCAGACUCAGAGGAAGUCAGACUUAGUUAUGAAACUGAGGAGAGGUUUCCAGCUAUGUGACAGAACUCAGAUUACUAUAAACUUGAUAGAGUUACAAGCUAAUUGGAGAAUAAGCCCAGGAUAUUAAUUCAUAAAUAAGCCUUGGUGUUAUUGUUCGGGAGCUGGGGCAGACAUAGAAAAGUCCAAAUGGUUACAGCUAUGUUUAGUUUUUGUUUGGAUGACCUGUAUAUUGGCAAGACUAGGGAAGUCGCCCAUUUAUCACUGUGUGAGGGUUAAUAUAUGAUUUUAGCUGGGGUGGUGUUUCUUUUAUGAACCUGGAUGCCCUAAUAUUUCGUGGGUAAAUGUUUAGAAUUGCAAUAUCCUACUGGUGGCUAUUCUCUUUGAUGAGUAUGUCCUUCCCUAUCUCUUCUGAUUAGUUUUGGCUUGAAAUCUAUUUUGUCAGAUUUUACAAUGGUUGCACUAGUUUGCUUUCUGGGUCCAUUUGCUUGGAAUAUUGUUUUCCAUUCUUUUAUCCAGAGGUGAUGUCUAUCCUGGACCUUCAAGUGUGUUUCUUGAUGCAGGAAAAAGAUGGAUUUUUUUUUCACUGUUAGUGUGUAUCUUUUUAUUUGGUUAGUAUCUCUUCUUUGUGGAGCUGGGACCACUGACAUCAGUGAGUGUGUCUAUUGGUCCCCAUCACUUGUUGCGGAGUGGGUCCCCCACCCUGCUCUUCCAGUUCGCUGGUAUGAGGUUACUUAUCCCUUGUGUUUUCUUGCAGGUAGUUAAUCUUUUCAGAAUCAAGUUUUUAUUCUAUCAUCUUCUGUAGAGAUGGAUUUGUGGGUAAAUAGUGCUUAACUUAGUUUUUAUCAUGAAAUGUUUCUCUUUCUCCAUCUAUUGUGAUCUACAGUUAUAGUUAUUCUGGUUAUAAAUUUCAGGCUGGCAUACAUACAUCGUCUAGAGUCUGUUGAAAAUCUGUUCAGGCCUUUCUGGACUUUGGAGUCUCCAUUGAGAAGUCCGGUGUUAUUCUAAUAGGUCUGCCUUUACAUAUUACUUUGUCUUUUUCCCUUGCAGCUUUAAAAAUAUUCUUUCCUUUUCUGUACAUUUAGUAUCUUGAUUAUUGUAUGUCUGUCAUGAGGAAUUUCUUUUCUGAUCUUGUUUGGUGUUCUGUGAGUUUCUUGAACCAUGAUAGGCUCCUCCUUCUCUAGGUUGAGGAAUUUUCUUCUAUGAUUUUGUUGAAAAUGUUUUCUAUGCCUUUGAUCUGAGUUUCUUCUCCUUUAUUUCUAUUAUUCGUAGACUUUGUCUUCUUAUAUUGGCCCAGAUUUCCUGGAUGUUUUGUGCCUACAAUUUUUUUUAACAUUCCCUCUACCAUUUCUUCUAUCUUGUCUUCAACACCUGGGAGUGUCUCUUCCAUGUCUUCCAUGUCUUCCAUGUCUUCCAUGUCUUCCAUGUCUUCCAUGUCUUCCAUGUCUUGUUGGUGAGGGUCACUGCUGAUGGUUUCGUUUUACUUCCUAAAUAUUUUUUUAUUUCAGUCUUAGUUUUUCUUAGUGAUUCUAUUUCUUAGUCUAAUCAAAUUUUCAUGUCAUUGUUUUCAUUAUUUCACCAUUUCAUCUAACUGUCUUGUUUUCACAGACUUAAGGGGUUCAUUCUUAUUUUUUCUUAGGUCCUUGAACAUAUACAUAAUAGCUAUUUUGAAGCCCUUGUCUUGUGCUUCAGUUAUAUUGCAUUUCUCAGGGCCUACUGUAGUAUUGUUGCUGGGUGCUGGUGGAGGGAUACUGUCCUGUUCACAUUUGCGUCAUUGCACCGGUGUCUAGGCAUCUGGACUAGGGAUAAUUGAGGUGAUUCUAGGUGCUGACACCUGGUCUUGUCUUUGUUGAGUGGGUAUCCUAUUCUUUGUUUACCACUGGCGCCUCGUUGGGUCUUAGGAGAUUGUGAUGGCUGUGGGUUGCCUGACAGGAAACACUUAUGCAGCUUGGAGGAUGGCAGAGAGGAAUUGAGGUGGCCUAGGAGAGAACUUCCCGAAGAGCUAAGGGGAUCCUGUCCACAUCUGGAGCGAAGGUACACUGUGAGUUGGAGCUGUGGUGAGAAGAGAGGAUCCUACCAAUAGGUUACAGUAAAGCAAAGAGUUAUCUGGAGAGACAGGCAUGUUGGCGCUGGCUCAUCCCUGAGUCUGAAGCAAGAGUGGGAGGAGUCUCCAGUGAAUGAAGUGAAUGAAGUUAAAGUGGGAAGAGGGUCAUUCAUAAGCAACCUGUCCCUAGGCUGAGGGUGAGAAUGAAGAGCUUGUUCUGGUGGACAGGAAGGAGUGUGUGAGUCUCCUACUUGAGUCACUGCCAGAUGCCAGGUUCCCAGGUAGAAAGUGUCUCCAGGUCCUGGGGGCUGACAUGAAGGACUGGGGAUGGGUGAGGGGAUGCUGAGGGAUGCUGAGAAGCUUCACUGGAAGGAGAAAAGCGGGUUCUACUCCAAGGUUUGGCAGAAUCCUCGAAACCCUCCUGGUGCAGACAGCAAAAGGCCUGUUUCAAGUGAGGGAUGGCUAGUUCAAGGACAGGAGGGUGACAUCACAAGGACCAAUCUGUAAGCCAGAAGACUCAGAAGACUAAAAAGGCAAAAUUAGGUAGCAGGGGUUACCUGCUCAGAGCAGAGACAGAUGGGAAAUUUCUGUCAUCAUUAAGGUUUUAUUGACCAGCGCGGCUGAAAUUUCCCAGAGAGAGGAAUUCAUCUCGCUACCGACUGAGAGCAGACAUCCUGCUGGGAGUAGUUACAUAAAUUCUGUUGCUCAAAUUAAUUAGGAUUGUGAUUCAUUUGUUUAAUGAAGAAUCUGAUGGCGAGAGGCAAGGCAGCCUAGCCUUGCCGAGUUCAGCCAAUCCCGGGUGAUAGUGCGGCAGAUGGGGUGGGACCAGGCCUGGAGCUGGCUGCCGAUGGGCAGAGACAACCAACCAGAAUGCAGAGCUGAAGCCAGUGGGAGCCGCUGCUGUCCCCUCCAAAGCUGGUGGCUGGAGAGACGCAGAUUCCCAGCUUAAAGCUUUCCCAGCUUCGCCGCCGCCCAGAGGCUUCCGGCCUCCUGCUUCCUCUGUGCGGAACAACUGCGAACAGCUGAAACACACGCCUCAUUAGCACCGACCGUCCACCCAUUUCCUCAUGCCACCCCCAAACGCCAGACUUUAUGCUUCUUGGAACACAAAGUAGGGACAGGUAGAGCACCGGCCUGUCCCACCUGCUUCGAAAAGACCCCUCCCCUCUACCCAGACUUCCCUGCCUGCGAGUGGAAGGGCAGCCCCAUUCCACAGUCGCCUCUGGAAGCACCUUCCCCAGGUUCUGUGAUCCUGGCUCUCAGCCGCAGUUGUAGAGAUGCCCCCACUUCUUAUUUGGACUGGACCUGGAAAGCCACAGGUCAGACCCAGCAGGACUUUUAAUGAAUCAGAACGAACUAUUACACGGGCAUGUGUCCUGAUAUCUUCCCCCACACUACCUAGAUGCCUCUCCUGGAUCAGUUACAGCUCACUUAAAAAGAAGCAGAGUCCACAAAUGGAAUGAACUGUGACGCAAAUGUUUGCCUGCUAGACCUUGGAUUCCCUGUCCUCAAAAGGUGCCUGCGGUCAUCUGACUCCAUUCAGUGGCCAAGGGAAAUCUUAAGCAUGAAUGUAUCUUGUCACUGUUCUUUAACUCUCUGAAAGAUUUCCCAACACAGAAGUUAAAACAGUAAAGCCAUCCAGCCUAAGGUGAGGUGAUCUGACACAUCUUCCUCUAGUUAAUACGGCCCCUUCUACAGCCCUCUUGCUGGUUGCCCUCUGCCUGACCCACUGUUUCUCCCUGAGGCACCCCAUAACUCCACAAAGUGUUCCCACCCCUUGGGAGGCCCUGGCUGCUCUCCUUCCCUGGGUUGUGUUUGGGGUGUGGCUAUAUUACAGAGGCCCGAGUGUUGGUGACAGUGUUGAACUGGUGGGACUUUAAAGAAAUGAGCCUUACUGGAAGGUCAUCUGGUUCCCUGGGGAUGAGGUAGUUCUCAGGUAACCCUGAGGUGGUUCUGGUGAG
rnacentral:lncRNA from 1 species